rnacentral:rRNA from 1 species
UACGUAGGGGGCAAGCGUUGUCCGGAAUCAUUGGGCGUAAAGCGCGCGUAGGCGGCCAGAUAAGUCCGGUGUGAAAGUCACAGGCUCAACCUGUGAAUGCCGCUGGAAACUGUCUGGCUUGAGUCCGGAAGGGGCGAGUGGAAUUCCUGGUGUAGCGGUGAAAUGCGCAGAUAUCAGGAGGAACACCAAUGGCGAAGGCGGCAUCCUGGACCGACACUGACGCUGAGGAGCGAAAGCCAGGGGAGCAAACGGG